CCCUUAGAUGUUCUGGGCCGCACGCGCGCUACACUGACGAAGUCAGCGAGCAUGUCCUACGCCGACAGGUGCGGGGAAUCUUGUCAAACUUCGUCGUGAUGGGGAUUGAUUAUUGAAAUUCUUGAUCAUCAACGAGGAAUUCCUAGUAAGCGCAAGUCAGCAGCUUGCGUUGAUUACGUCCCUGCCCUUUGUACACACCGCCCGUCGCUACUACCGAUUGAAUGGUUUAGUGAGGCCUUCGGAUCCGCGACUCGUUUGUGGAGAAGUUGGACAAACUCAGUCAUUUAGAGGAAGUAAAAGUCGUAACA
rnacentral:rRNA from 1 species